UCCUUGUGUUGCCUGCCUUCAAGAAACUAAACUCUAGGACAUUAACGAGUUUUCUGCUAAGCUUUUCCUCCCCCCUUCGCUUGACACUUUCCACUUCAUUCUGUCACGGGCUCACGCGGUGGCAUCCUCACUGCAUGGAACAGCUCCACCUUCUUCCUACAGUCCUUCACUACUAGGCGCCACACCCUCACAACCGUGCUUUCCUCCACCACAUCUGACCACACCAUUACCAUCACAAAUGUCUACGCCCCUUCCGACCACCGUGACUCACUCGACUUCCUACUCAACCUAAU
rnacentral:lncRNA from 1 species